rnacentral:rRNA from 1 species
UGGUCAAUAGCCUAACGACUGAACCAGCAACUUAAAGGAACAAAAAAUCGAAGUCAUGAGCGGUUACCAUAUUAAUUGAAUUUGGGGCAUUACUUGCGAAUAGUUCAAAAUAAAUUUUGAUAAUGACAUAAUUUAUUUAAAGGUCUUGACCAACUCAUGUGCCAGCAGUCGCGGUAAGACAUGGAAGGCCAGCGUUAUUCAUCUUUAUUAGGUUUAAAGGGUACCUAGACGGUAAAUAUUAGCUUUUAUUUUUAAGAUAAUUGUACGUAUAUACUAGAGUUUUAUAUAAGGAAAUUCAGAACGGUGAGUGUAGGGAUCAAAUCUGUUGAUACCACUUAGAAACUGAUAUAGGUGAAAACAGAGUCUUAUGUAAAAACUGACGUUGAGGGACGAAGGCUCAAUAUAAGCAACGGGAUUAGUUACCCCAGUACUAAGAGCAGACAAUGAUGAAUGCCAUAUGUAAGACAAUUUUUUUAUAUAUAAAUGAAAAUGAAAGCAUUUCACCUCAAGAGUAAUAUGGCAACAUAUAAACUGAAAUCAUUAGGCCGUUUCUGGAAUUCGUAAUGAAGUAUGUUAUUUAAUUUGAUAACCCCCAAAGGACCUUACCACAGUGUGUAUAGUUAUAUACGUAAGUAUAUUUCGGACAAGUGUUGCACGGCUGUCUGCAGUUGAUGCCGUGAGGAUUGGAUCGCUCCAUUAAUCAACGGAAUCCCUGACUUUAUUUGAACUAAAGUGCUAAUCUCGGUAUAUGUAUCCGUAUCCGAAUUUAAUAUAUGGGAGCAUGACAAGUCAUCAUGGCCAAACAUACAAAUUGAUAGUACUGUGGGCGAUAGACGUGCCACAUUUAACUUAGACAAAAAGAUGCACAAUUGAAAAAUUUAGCUAAUCUUUAAAAUAAGAAAGAACAUGGAUUG